GAAUCAUUUGCCUAAGGUGUGAGCACAGAUCUGGACACCCAGCUCAGUGAAUGGAGAAGAUCAGGGAAAGUCUGAAUGAAGGCCAGCAGGCAGUAUCAGCCGAACCAAGAAGGGCCAUAAAGCUGCAGACCAGGAAAUCUGCCCUCUGAGAGCACAGAAUUUAGAAUGGACAGCAAAUUUAGUAAAAGUAGGUGUUCCAGCUAGAAGAUUUGGAUGAAAAGUGAUUCCAAAAAAAUGAGGCAAUCUCAUCCCGAAACUAUUUAAAACUACUCUCCUCUCUCUUGAUAAACCGUCAGUAGGAAGUGUGUCGUUUAUUCCCUCACUCCACACUGGAUUCAUAUGGGCUGAUAGCAGCAGGAUUAAAAAUUUUUUUCAUCAUGAGUUAAAUCCCUAAGAUUUAGAGUAUUUUGUUUGUCUGAAUGUCUAAGCGGUACAAACCUUAGCAAUCCAUAUUAAAAUGGAGAAUUCCUUCUUUUGGUAUUCACAAGCAUAACAUACAUAAUCCUUUA
rnacentral:lncRNA from 1 species